rnacentral:rRNA from 1 species
UACGUAGGGGGCAAGCGUUGUCCGGAAUUUUGGGCGUAAAGAGCGUGUAGGCGGCCAGAUAAGUCCGCUGUGAAAUCUCGAGGCUCAACUUCGAGCUGUCGGUGGAAACUAUCUGGCUAGAGUCCGGAAGAGGAGAAUGGAAUUCCUGGUGUAGCGGUGAAAUGCGCAGAUAUCAGGAAGAACACCCGUGGCGAAGGCGGUUCUCUGGGACGGUACUGACGCUGAGACGCGAAAGCGUGGGGAGCGAACAGG